rnacentral:lncRNA from 1 species
UUAUGCCACGUGAGGAUACAGCAAGGCCCCAGUCUGCAAGCCAGGAAGAGUCGUCACGAGAACCAGACCAUGCAGGAACUCUGAUCGUGAACAUUUCAACCUCCAGAACUGUGAUCCAAAAUGCAUAUGUAUCUUUGGAAGAAACUCUGAAGUAAAGGCCAGAAUAUUCUUUGUUUAAAACAUUAAAAACAAAACAGACCAAAGCAUCAAGCAAGAAAUUUCCUGGCAAUAAACUAAGCACAGCAUUAUUUUUUAAGGAACACAAAUUAAGUGUUCAACCUGUGGCAAAUUUGUACUUUCUCCCUGAAUUAUGUUGUUAUCAAAGAAAAAAAUUGGGAAGCAUGGCAAAAUAUCAUCAAAACUGAAACUAGAAUUAAACAAAACUAAAUUAAAAUGAAAUAAAAUGACGUCCAUUCUUAAUUCAUCCUCACAACUGGGCCACUAGUUUUAUGCAUCUUGGCAGCCAAUAUUUUUGUCUCUAGGGCAUAAAUUAUGCAUCAGGUACCUCUGAAACUCAGAGACCAAGGAAAGAGGAGGUAAUUUGGAAGGUGAAAUAAAUGUAAACAUUCUGAAGAAAGAAUCAAAUCUGUACUUCAGGGUCAAAGAUGAAAUUCAAAAGGGGUUGACAAUGCAUAGAAAAAAGUGCUGAAUUUAAAGUUGGUUUUAU